AGGAGGAGAAGGAAGAGGAGGAGGAGGAGGACCCAAAUGAGAGCAAGAGACUUCCCACACUGCAGUGCUGUCAUCAUUCAAGUCACCCCUCUUACUCUGAUGGAGAAAGUGCCCCUGGCUUAAGGGCAGCCAGCCAGGCGCAGCGGCCAUGCUCUGGUCCCGCACUAAGCUAUCCCUUGUCUUGGCUCCAAACCCCUCAAGGCUUCCACGUCCUGAAAAAGUUCUCAUUCAUUCACACAGUGAAAGGCGAAGGAAGAGGAAGCUGGGGAGAGGUGUGGGCACCUCUGGGGAUCAGGACUGCUCAAGAAACUGAGAAGAGGCUACUGGUCACAAAGGGAGGGGCCCAGCCUGCUUCACUCCAAGCCAACUGUGAGUCUCAGAAUCCAAGCAGAAUUUGAUGGGAAAAGUUAUGUGAAGUCAGAACUGCAGGUGAAAUGACCACUCUGCUGGGGCUGCUCCAGUGGUGGUUGCUCCAAGUCCCAUAGGUGGGACAGGGGAACUUGGGGGAGGGGCAUACACACAUGCGAGAUUAUAGGAAGAAAUUGGUUAUUUGCUUAUGGGAGCUGACUGGGUAAAUCCAAAAUUUGGAGGGCAGCUGGCAGAAGGGCUGCAAAGAGCAAGUACAAUUAGCCCUGCUGUUCCUAGCAGACCUUCCUCGGCUUCCAAGAGCCUCAGCUAUUCUUAGAGGACUCCUCCACAGAUGGACUGAGACCCACCCAGCUACUAGGUGACUAAAAGGAAUCAUAAGCUGGGGACAGCUAACAAAUGCCCUCAAGUAACUCCGUAGUAACAGAGACAGUGCCUAGGGCGUGGAUGUAUGCAGCUCACAACCUAGCCGAGUUCACAAAUAACACAGGCCUCUGGAGCGGCUUAGGUCAACACGUGUCGGGAGGAACCUGGGCUCCCUCACAUGUCCUAGGCUUGAAUCUGCUCUGCCAACAUUAGCCUGUUCAAUCUUGGUGAGCUCCCUAUGCCUCAGUUUCCCGACCGUGAAAUGGAGAUAGCUAUAGUUAUAUAUGUGGUACGGCUGUAACGAAAAUCAAAGGCACAAGAACGUGAAAGGGGCUUGAAACCGAACCACACAAGCUCAUUGUAUAACUCUGCUACCCUGAGUGCCUCACAAGAUACCUGGCAAGCAGCAUGAUGGGGUUUCCCGGUCUCGUUGUGUUUUCCUUGUGUGGCCUAAACGGAAUAGAGCUUGCUUCUCAGUUUUGUUUGCACAGCCUGGAGCGUGCACUGCUCUGAUUGAGAUUCACGGAGGAACUCGGACCCACACGUACUUCACAGGAACUUGAACCCGGGAUAAGGAAGAAAGUUUUAAUAAUCUAGCCUUUUUAUACUCCACCAGAA